AGUAGAUUGCAACUCAUCCCAGGCAAACAACAGCAAGGAUGCCUAGGGCAGCAGCGGCAGCCCCAAACGAUGUUCACCUGCAGGUUGUUGGAGUCCUGGGAAGGUGUUAGCGGUGUUUGUUAGAAGCACUUCCCUGCCCUGGAAACCUUGUUGUUUGUUGGAGAGGCACUGAAGAGCAGGUCCAUAUGCACAGGGCACUGCCACCGAUCAAAGGCACGGGCGGAGAGGAUGAGCACGCUCUCCAGGUGGGCCCUUUCUUCAGAAAUUCCAGCACAAGGAAAUCCAGCUAUUCCUCCCUAAGACAGAUGUUGAUCGACUCUUUACUGCUUUCAACUCUGGGGUCAUGUUCUACUAAAAGUUUUAUGAAAACAACAAAGAAAAUAUUAGAACUCCUUUGAGAGAAAAAAAGGAAUGUACAAGCCAAGGAUGAAUGAGGGGUGAGAGAGGCUCACUGCAGAAGAAAAA
rnacentral:lncRNA from 1 species